CACGGACCGACCUUGAGAUUUCAGCCAUCAUGAGACCAGCCAUUUCGGAAUUGCUUUACACUUCAGCUACAGAGCACAUGUCUUACCUUCACCGCUGCCCAGACACGAAAGAGGACGAGUGUUUGUGCUGCGUGAUUGGGUUGGAUGAUGCAGGGUUGUACUAAACCUAAAAGUGGGCGAAAUAUGAGCGCAGCGCAUGAGUCGCAUUGACACGGUGUGUAUAAAGGGAAAUACUGCACAUUGCAGGCGGAAUACGUUGGAAGUAAAGGGAGGAUCACAUACACUAUCCACACACCACCCCUCUUCCGAAAAAAAAAAUCUAAAACUCAAGGAUAAAUAGUUGAGUUGCUGUCGAAUACAUAAUUAAAUACCCACUUUUUACUUGUUAGAUUUCAAAUUGUUUCAUCUUCCAAAAUUUUUAUGUAAUUUUCCAAAUAUUAAAAUGUUCUCUUGGCUUGUAUUUGACGUUCAACAACGUUAGGAUUUGGAAUUUCUACCUGGGGUGGCUGUAGAGCAAUGUCCUGGUGGAUUCUUAGCUUUCUGAAUGUUCUGUAGAGAUAGCUUCUUGGAAGUUGGUGAGGUUCUCACCUUGCGUCUUCUCGAGAAUUGCGUCUGUUUUUGAUUUCUGAUUCCUCGCGUCGAGCAGGUUAUUGUUUGCUGCCGCCAAAGACGAUUUUACACUUGUUCCACCAUCACAAUUAUAUGUUUUUUUGUCAAUGUAGAAAAUCAACAACCAUUACAUUCAAACCGAUUGUACACAAACUCUCUGCACCCAAUGGUAUGAAAACCAACGAUGUACGGAACCCACGUGAGCUUCCGCACCAAUCUACUCAAAGCUUCGUGAGCAUACUAUAUUGGCAGUGUUUAUCUAACAAAGCGGCUUCUUUGAAAUAAUGAAAUAUUCCAUUUACCCCAAGUAAAACAUUUCGAAAUUUCCUCUACCGAAUACAAAGCCGGAGGCACCAUUUGUAUGCAUUAUCGAUACUUGUAUCGUUUGAAUAGUGAUUAUCAUACCACUUCGUUUAGCCGGCAGAGAUAUUAACGUUUAAACCCUUGCACCUCCAACGUAACGCUUUCGUAUUCGGAACUUUGAACUUAGACCACAGUACAGAAGUAAAAGACGUAAUCCUGCGUCAAAAAAGACGUUGGCCGAAUAUUUUCCCAUCGAAUUUCUCCCAACCGCUUCAUACGUUAAUAGAGAUACUUAUUCUGAUUUUGCAUCGACGGAUGUCCUGUGCUUGAAUACUAACCAUCACUAUCGGCAGAUUCGGUUGUCUCAUGGUUCAUCGGUUGUCGAAUUCUCGCCCCCGUGAGCUCUUAUCUGUGACCAGAUUUACACCAUUGUUCUCACAUCGAUUUAUAUUGUUUUGGAUUUCCAAAUUAUCGGUACCAGACUUGACAGCCGAUGGCAUAUCAUCAAAAUCUCCCGGAUGACUCAGAAAAUCGAAAACACAGUUCAGGUAAAAUGCAGAAAAAAUCAUUUAACGAUGAAUCGUUAGCGCUCGUUCAUUGUUUUACUCCAUUUUACAGUAAACCUGCCUGGAAAAAACAGCCUCCUGGCAGGACCACCAAUGUGUAGAUUUCAGCCAUCAUAAGACCAGCCAUUUCGGAAUUGCUUUACACUUCAGCUACAGAGCACAUGUCUUACCUUCACCGCUGCCCAGACACGAAAGAGGACGAGUGUUCGUGCUGCGUGGUAGGGUUGUACUAAACCUGAAAGUAGGCGAAAUAUAAGCGCAGGGCUGUGUCGCAUUGACACGGUGUGCAUAAAGGGAAAUACUGCACAUUGCAGGCGAAAUACGUUGGAUGUAAAGGGAGGAUCAAAUACACUAUCCACACACUACCCUCAAUUGUUUCGUGGCUUUCCGAAACAGUGCUAGAAAAUUUCAUGAAACCAGAUUGUCUGACGAUUUUAUGAAAUUACAACGAGAUUAAGUUUGAGGAAUGUGUAUCCCCAGAAUUAUUAAUGUAGGAAUACGUUUCAGAGUGUAAAAUUACUCAAGAGAAAAUUCUUUAAUCCACAGUCAAUAUAAAAAGAUUUUAUAUAUAAUUUGUUUGUCUGAUUCAAAGUAGAAUCAACUUUAAUGGUGGGACUAUGGUAAAUGUAUCUAUAACCGUAUAUCAUAAAAAUUAGGAAAAAUUCUUCCACUGGUGAUAUGCUUUCCUCAUUUGUUGAGUUAAGAUUCAUUCCAAAGCAUGGAUGAUGAAUUCAGUGAAAAUUUGAAUAUUCAUUUCUCUGCAAUUGACUGUAGUGAUGCUGUAGGUUUUUCGGCAAAAAUAUGAAUGAUCAAAAAGUCAGGUGAAACACUAGCAUUUACGCUCAUGCGAAGAUGUAUUUUACAUAUCCGGUCUUCGCUCGAAGGAAGAUAUACUCUAUUUCCGGUGGGAUUUGGAACGGAUUCUGUAUUAUGAGCUACUACCAAGCAACCUGUUUCUCACAUGUUUGGCUCGCAGCAGUUUUCAAUGAGGGAACAAACAUGUUCUGGGAGGAUAGAAUAUUUAUGCUGUGUGAAAGAUGACGAAAGAUUGUGAAACAGAACUAGAUAUAAAAUUAAAUUAUAAUGCUUCGAUUGAAAAUGAUGUUUUUGUUUUCCCAAAAAUCGACAUUAACUUUUCGGACAACCCAAUAUGAGCUAUCCUGAUUUAUCCUGAUUUUUAUUUUCAUUCUCCCUGAUUUUUUAAAUUAUAGUUGGCAACCCUGGUGAUGACAGUAGGAGAGUUGCCCUUUUAAAACGCAUCUUCUUCGAAGUUUCCGAAGUUUUGAAAAAAGCGCCUGAGAGUACUCCUUCUAAAAUCAUUUUUAUGACAUGAAAGCAUGAAACUCUUUCAUCGUUGAUAAUGAAUGCUGAAUACAUAAUGAAAAGAAUCGAGCAGAUUCAUCAAUGGUUUAUUUAAACAUAGUACAAGAUUUAACCUAUACAAAGAUAGUGCUACUUCUUCCUCAUACAGCGAGGCAAAAAAGUUUAGGAGAAUAUAUUGGACACUGUGUAUAUAUAUAAGAAUGUUACGUUGGUUUGUAUACGCUUCAAAAACUCGACAUUUUCUGCACCGACUGUUUCAAGAAUUUUUUUUGUCUGGAUGAUUUUUAAUUAAAUUGAAGUGUGUGCGAUUUUAGCCACCAAAAGAUCAGCCAUUUUGGAGAUGAUUUAUGCUUUUGGCCGCGGAGCACACGUCUUGCCCUAACCGCUUUAGUGUUGGGAAAACGCGUUAGCGCCAUUAGGCGGCGGUGACACUGGAUGCAGAAAAGAGAUCGUACGAAUUGUAUGCAAUAGUGAAAGUAAACAACCACAUUGAGUUGUAUUGGUGUGGUUACAUUGCAUCCCCCUUGCUUCGUUCGAAUUCGUCAGCCUCUAUCGAACAAAAUUGUUUGUUUCUAUUCGUACAAUCAAAUUUUCAUGCGUACUCCUAUCCAAAGUAACCUUAGCCUUAGUGUUGGGAAAACGCCUGUUUGUUGUUUUUUGGCUUACAAGCAUAACCAUGCAAAUUUCCAAUGAAAUGAUCUGCCCUGUUGAAGGAAAUUAUCGGCAAAAAGAGAGCCUAGGAGAUUUUGCGGAUUGAAACUUUUUUUUUCCAUUUGGAAAACGCAUGCGUCUAUUUAUGCGGACAAUCAAUCGUUUCAAUUGACAUUUGUUCGUAUACGUAACAACCAGGUUGUUUUGUCUGUAAUUUUAGCAUUACCUUUUCCGAUAAUAGUCAAAACGUCUCCGUCGAUAAUUUCAGUUGUUGUCGGAUAAAAUCAAAUAGGUUCGGAAGAAAUUCGAAUGAACUAACUGUGUAGAGGGUGAAUGUGAUCCUCUUAUUACAUCCAAUGUAUUUCGCUUGCAAUGCGUUGUCUUCGCUUUUAAAGGGUGUGUCACAUCACGCAUCACGGAAAAAACGCUGUAGGAAUUUAAUUUUUAGGAAUUAUAUCUUCAGCUUACGCUUAUAAUCAGAUAAGAGUGUAUAGAUCACGUUGGCCAUGCUUCACUGUCAAUUUUUCGUAAAUUUGGAAAAAUGUCGUCGAACGAAAAAGAGCGUCGUGAAUUAAUCCUGUACACUUAUUUUGAGAAUCCGGAGUUGUCACAUCGGGACAUCGGUAAGAUGCAUGGAAUCGUCUAAUCCACGGUCAGCAGAGUACUAAAACGAUACUUCGAGAACCUAACCAUCGACCGGAAGGUGAAGAACGGCAAAAAUGGAUGCUCCGUCAGUGAAAAAGAUCACAAGCGCGUAGUUAAGCAGUUUAG